AUUUAAAUAGUUUAUUUAAAAAUUUUGAUUUGUGGAAUCAAAGAUGUAUAAUAAUUACUUUAAAUU
rnacentral:tRNA from 1 species